UAAGCGUUUUAGCAUUGUAGUUUCCGGUGGGGACUGGGGAGUAGGGAAAGAUGAACUUAACACUGCCAUGGCCAUUUGGGCGAGGGGCGAAGCUCGAGAAGCCGCGCAAGGACGAGGAGGACGUGGCCCAGCUCGAGGAGUUGGGUGUGACGCCGCAGCUCCUCGAUUUCGUGAAGGAUUUCACCCUAGAUACCUUCAGAAAUUUCCCUCUUAAAGAUGAUCCAACGGCGGAUGGUGAUGUCGAUACUUCGUCGGGGAGCAGGCUGAGUAAGGAUCUUAGCGAGUGGCAGGAGCGCCAUGCCAUGCUUCUUCUCGGCAAAACCAAGGAAAUUUCACAGAUCAGAUAUGCUUUAUGUCCACGUUUUUUAAAGGAGAAACAAUUUUGGAGAAUAUACUUUCUCCUAGUAAAGAAUUAUGUUGCUCCUUAUGAGAAACGUGCCAUACAAAAUGCAAUUAUUAAAAAGCACUCGGAGAAAGCAAAUUCCCAUGACAAGGUUACAAUUGAAGUGGAGAUGAUGGAAUCAAAGCUUGCAUGUUGUUCAGAAGCUGUUCUACAUGCCGACAGAAGUGGUGGCGAAGGAACAGGUUGCGGGCAAAAAUUUAUAGCCAGUCCCAAGCAAGAUGCACCAUAAACUAUCCUCUGUUUCAGCCAGUACUCAUUCCAUCUCCAAUAUCAGAAUCGUAGGGGGAUAAUCAACAGUUCCUUGAAUCAAGAAUUCCUUUCCAUGUGGCUGAAAGUAUGAAACGGUGACAAUACCAUCCUGAAGGUUGAAUCAGAGGCAGCUGCCCAUACAUUAUCCGAAGGGAUGAGUAUGAAGUGUUGGGAGGAAUGAACCACACGGUCUCAAAUUGAUUAAACAUAGGAUUUUGUUUACAGCAUAAAGUCAUUCCCCUGGAAUGUUUUCGAUUAAGUGGAUUAUUUUCCUUGUUGUAGGUGUAUUGGUAUUCCCUUGAUAAUAUUUAUUUUAGUUUGGUUGAUAAUUCUGGAAUAUCUCUAUCCAGUUAAUAAAUUCUUAUUACCAUUCUUUUUUUCGUUGUCAAAUUUUGGUAUCAGAGCUCUAGAUUAAGAUGCUGCCUAAGAGAAAUAGACCACACCAAGCGUAAGAAAUAACUAUAGAAGACUUAUAAAAUGAAAUCCGAAAAACUACAACUUAGACUGGUGGUGACCAUCGAGUAGAUUGUGACAUCAAAAACCCUUUCAGUCAAGUAUUUCAAUAAUUAUUCAAGAAAGAUGAACCUUACCCUAGAGGGGAACAUAUUAGACGUUACCAUAAUUUUGAGGUUAAAAUAGGCAUUCUGGAUUUUGAGGAUAGGCUAAAGCUUCGUUUGGGAUAGCUUUCAUAUUGUUUCCUAAAACGGUUUUCAAGUAUAAAAUUUUCUAAUUCAAGAAAUUGUUGUACAAGAAAGCUGAUUUAGAAAGCAACAAAAAAGCUGUCUCAAAUGAAGCCUAAAUCUCAUGGCUUCAUAGAUUAGCUACAUACAAUAGAACGUUUUUUUUUUAAUAUAAAAAAGUACCUAUUGAUAAGUGCAUAAAACUUGGGCAUCAAGUUAAAAAAAAAAAAGCAUCCAUUUAGUGGGAUGAUCUUAAGGGCAUCUCCAACCGAACGGCAAACACUUGUUUGCCGUUCUUGCUUUGCUCCAACCGAUCGCCAUUUUUGAUGCCAUUUUAUUGCGGAUGAACAGUGCGACGCCAAUAUUGGCGUCGCACUGUUCAUCUGCGCCAUUUUUUUCUCUCUACCGAACAGGUUGGGAAGAAAGGCGCGAAAGAAAACGACUGUUUUAGCGGCAAAAUGACGUUGGAUUGGAGAUGAAACACGGCAUUUUUUGAUUUCCCUGCAUUUUGGAGUGAAAAAUGACAUUUUCGGUUGGAGAUGCCCUAAGCACACAAGGACUUGAGAGCAUAAAAUAAAAUCAUCACAUAAAAAUAGAUUAAAAAAGAACUAAAGAAAAUAUACUUAUCAUUUCAUUUCAAGUAAAACGCCUUUAUUAAACUACAUAAUUUUUUACAAAUACGCAUGCUAGUAGAAGAAUAUAAAACUAAAUUCAACCAAUUGAUGUUAAAAUGCAACGUAGUUGAAACUGAGGAGCAUACCAUUGCCCAUAAAUUAAAGUUUUGCAUCCCGCAAUUCCAAAUAUUGUAUAGCUACGACUAAGGAUAGAAUGAAAAUAAGCCAAUAUUAAAAACUUCUCUCCUAGUUCAGAACAAAAACUUUGUAAAAUAAAGGUUUCAAAGAAUAUUCAAUACAAUUCAAUAGCACAAAAACUGCAUGAGAUUUGGCAUGAUAUUGUUCCCAUGGAUGCAGGCCAUUUACUUUUAGAACGAACCUGACAGUAGAUAGGCAUACAAUUCAUGAUGAGUACAAAAAAUGUGUAUAUAUUAGAACCCGAAAGCAAGAAGAAAGCAUUGAUGCCUUCAAAAGAAGAUAUUAAGGAGGAGGGACUUGAUGGUCUCUAAUUUGGUGUUUUUAGCACUAUACAAGACUUACCACAACAUAUGCUCUCGUUGGUCUGGAAAAAAAAUCAAGUGAAAGUGCAAAAAGAGAAUCCCUGUUUCAGCAAAACCAAGACAUGUUUCCUAUCAAGGUUAAGUAUAUUACGGGGACAGAAAAUUUUUUAUCCCUACAAUAUUGUUUAAAACAUAAAUCAUGUUUCCAAAAAUAAAAUUGUUGAUGUCCUUAGUCGAAGAUAAUCCUUCUUUAGUACUCUACGGUUUAUGUUGGAUGGAAGCAAAAUGAUCAAAAGAACUUUAUUCCAACAAAAGAGAAAUUUUCAUGAAGUGGUCACCCUACUCAAACUUUCAAUAUUACAAUACGUCAUUUCUAUUGAUACAAACUUAAAAGGCAUUCUCUCUGAUGUUUUUAGGAGGAUUAGUUUAAUAAUUAGGUGGCCUAGGAGUUAAUUGAUAUUUUACUAUAGCUAUUUCAAUGUUAAAAAUAUGAGGUGAGUAUAGAGAAAACCAUAGUGAGAUCCAAGACUUUGCCAAAAUAAGUUCGC